rnacentral:miRNA from 1 species
UGUGUGUGUGUGUGUGUGUGUGUGUGUAUACACACACACACACAUAUAUAUACAUAUA